GAUGAACGCUGGCGGCGUGCCUAAUACAUGCAAGUCGAGCGAACAGACGAGGAGCUUGCUCCUCUAACGUUAGCGGCGGACGGGUGAGUAACACGUGGAUAACCUACCUAUAAGACUGGGAUAACUUCGGGAAACCGGAGCUAAUACCGGAUAAUAUAUUGAACCGCAUGGUUCAAUAGUGAAAGACGGUUUUGCUGUCACUUAUAGAUGGAUCCGCGCCGCAUUAGCUAGUUGGUAAGGUAACGGCUUACCAAGGCGACGAUGCGUAGCCGACCUGAGAGGGUGAUCGGCCACACUGGAACUGAGACACGGUCCAGACUCCUACGGGAGGCAGCAGUAGGGAAUCUUCCGCAAUGGGCGAAAGCCUGACGGAGCAACGCCGCGUGAGUGAUGAAGGUCUUCGGAUCGUAAAACUCUGUUAUUAGGGAAGAACAAAUGUGUAAGUAACUAUGCACGUCUUGACGGUACCUAAUCAGAAAGCCACGGCUAACUACGUG
rnacentral:rRNA from 1 species